GUCUUCGUGGUGUAGUGGUAAGAACGCUUGACGCGUAACCGAGAGGUCCGUGGUUCGAUUCCCGGCGAAGGCU
rnacentral:tRNA from 1 species